AAAAAAAAAGUAAAAAGAUGUUGUAGUAUAUGAAAAAUACGUCACAAACGUUGAAGUCUUCUUGUCUCUCCCUCU
rnacentral:ribozyme from 1 species